AUACGGAGGGUGCAAGCGUUACUCGGAAUCACUGGGCGUAAAGCGCGCGCAGGCGGCCAUUUAAGUUGGAUGUGAAAGCCUACGGCUCAACCGUAGAACUGCAUCCAAAACUAUUUGGCUAGAGUGUGGGAGAGGAAGAUGGAAUUAGUUGUGUAGGGGUAAAAUCCGUAGAGAUAACUAGGAAUACCAAAAGCGAAGGCAAUCUUCUGGAACACUACUGACGCUGAGGCGCGAAGGCGUGGGGAGCAAACAGGAUUAGAAACCCCAGUAGUCC
rnacentral:rRNA from 1 species